AGUGAAACCACAAUAAAAUCAACUCAUUCAAAAGUAAAAUCUCACUGCAACAAAACAUUCAAGCAUGAAGAUCUAUGGUCAUUGAUCAUAUCUUCCAUACAUGAAUACAGCAAGUUAUAACUAUGCGGUCCUUGGUAAGUAGAUACAUUGCACACAAAUUUGCUUCCAUUUCUCAUCUUGUUCGUUCACAUGAAACUAAAGCAGACGACUCCUUGGUAAGUAGAUACAUUGCACACAAAUUUGCUUCCAUUUCUCAUCUUGUUCGUUCACAUCAAACUAAAGCAGACGACUCCUUGGUAAGUAGAUACAUUGCACACAAAUUUGCUUCCAUUUCUCAUCUUGUUCGUUCACAUCAAACUAAAGCAGACGACAACCUUUAUCUGAUUACGAAGAAAAAGAAUUCACAUGUAUCAACAAUCAUGGCUAGUGAAAACUGCACGUCAGUGUACUGAGAUGCAGGCACCCAAUGGCGGGCAGUGUGGUACAGAGUUGAUCGUAUGGCAAGGUUAGAAGAUAUCCGUACGUCCGUAUAUUUCUACAAAAUGUCAAACCUGGCCAUGGCCAUUCUGCAGGGAAUCCUCAGCAAGGUCUAAUAUCUCUAUCUGAUUUAUGCAUUUGAUCUGAACCUGCUAGCAUCCAUCAUCGUUGUCAUGCCCCCGUGCCCUGCUAGUUACUAUUUUGCUACAUGACCUGCAAAUGGAAUCAGCCAAAUCUAAGAUAUCGUGGAAUGGAACACCAAACAUUUUUUCAAAAGAGCACAAAAUGCCAAAUUUUGGAUUCAAGGAAGAAAGGUCAAAUACAUGUCCAGCUCCUCUUCCUUUUUCUUGAUUUCAUGAGACCAAACUACAGGGUCAACAUUCUUGGGCAAGGACUCCUG
rnacentral:lncRNA from 1 species